GGACUACAGGGGUAUCUAAUCCUGUUCGCUACCCAAGCCUUCGUCCCUCAACGUCAGUUUUUACAUAAAAGGUUGCUUUCGCCUUUGGCAGUCCUUAAGAUAUCAACAGAUUUUAACCUUACUCCUUAAAUACUCACCUUUACGUAUCAAACUCUAGAAAUACUUUAUUGUCACUUAGUAUCCCUGUCUAGGUACCCUUUAAACCUAAUAAAGAUGAAUAACACUAGUCUUUUACGCAUUACCGCGGCGGCUGGCAC
rnacentral:rRNA from 1 species